GAUUGGGGCGGGGGCCCCCUGGUGGCCAGCGGGGCCCUAAGCAGCCGCUUGGUUCGCUUAUGCCUCGGGCCGGCCCUGUCUUACCUACAGGAUACACAAACAACAUCUGAACCAGAGAAGGCUUCAGUGGAAGCUGCAGGGCCUGCAGAAACUGUAGUGGAACCAGGGCCUCAACAACACGCAGCCACAUUGGAAGAAUCUGUGCCUUUGGUUGAGUCUGCAAGCAGUGCUGUAGCCGAAGGAUUCGAAGUGACUGAGUCAGCUUUAGCUGUUGAAGAGAAACAGAUUCCAGAAACAACAACAGAGGCCCCUGAGGUUCCUUCAGAGACAUUGGCAGAAUCAAGUCCGGCUCCUGAGCCCGUGCUUAUGUCAAAGGAAAUUGUUAUUGGUCAAGAUGAAUCCGUUGCACAAGUAGAAAUAGAAGCCAAAAAGAACUUUGCAGUGGACAAUGGCUUGACUUUGGACAACAACAAUAAAUGUCUGGGAGAAGUUGAAGUUGCAACUGAAAGUUGAAGUGGUUAUGGACCUAUACAUUCUGCUCAAACAUGGAACGACAAUUUUGCCAAGUGCCUUUUUUGUGCAGGUUCUUAGCUACAAAGUUAUGUUAAGGAUACGUGGCUGUUUUUCACUGUUUAAUGACAUUAUGUGCUUCUCAUUUCCAUAUGCAUGUACAAUAGAUUUGCAGAUGUUAUACAAUACAAACAGUAAAAUAGUGCACAUUUUUAUGUUUUUACUUUGAGGAUUGAAUAUUCGGUGUUGUUUAUGUUUCUGUUGGUUAAAUGAUUUUGGAGUGGAGAGUACCAUUUCAUUAGCCUGACGUUGUCAUACUCAAUUCUAGUCAGAAUUUGACUAGAUCUUCCCAUUUCUCAAAAUGUUGUGGGCGGGGCUAAGAUCGGCUGGCACCCAGGCUACCAUUUCAUCCAAUACAACCUGCAACUCUUCACCCAGCCCCGAACCAUGUGCC